CAUCAACCCUGUCACAUGGUGUCCUGAGAACUGGGACUGACAUCAGCCACGUUGCUGAGAUCCAUCACCAUUGAAGUGCAGUCAUAGAUUUUUUGGAGCUGAAGCUCCAGCACUCAGCACUUACAUGGAAAAGGAGAAUCCUACAAAUAUACAAAAUAGCCCAUAUGCUAAAGAUACAUGGCCACGUGGAGCAGUCUCACUCUUCGACUCUCACUUAUUGGACUAAAAGAGAACACAAGCAGGUAACUGAAUGAAGAAGAUAACCUUGGCCAUAAUGUGAUAAAGACUCAGACAUAAAACCCUGACAGAACAGGAACCAGUGAUGCAAUCUGAGAUGGAUGUUAAUGAACAAGAAAAAAAAAUUAUAUGUGAAAAGAAGAGAAAAAAAGUCUGAUCAUAAUAGCACCAAAGUAAUUAU